UGUCCGAUCUGUUCUUUCUCGACUUGCUGUCGGAGGGGAUGAUAGAUCAGAUGUUCGCUCAUAUCCAAGACGCAAGGUUAUUGAUGAAUUCGCUUCAUUCAUGUAGAGUUCGUCAUAUUUACGGAGAAUGUAAUCAGCCUGCUCAUUUACUCACGAUUGAAGGCUUCGCCAGAGGUGAUUCUGUAUAUUGUGGAUCGAAG
rnacentral:lncRNA from 1 species